rnacentral:rRNA from 1 species
UACAGAGACUGCAAGCGUUAUUCGGAUUCACUGGGCGUAAAGGGUGCGCAGGCGGUUGGGUGUGUCAGAUGUGAAAUCCCGAGGCUUAACCUCGGAACUGCGUCUGAAACUACUCGACUAGAGUACUGGAGAGGGAACGGAAUUCACGGUGUAGCAGUAGAAAUGCGUAGAUAUCGAUGAUGGAACACCAGAGGCGAAGGCGGUUCCUGGACAGUUAC